rnacentral:rRNA from 1 species
GAUGAACGCUGGCGGCGUGCCUAAUACAUGCAAGUCGAGCGAACAGACGAGGAGCUUGCUCCUCUGACGUUAGCGGCGGACGGGUGAGUAACACGUGGAUAACCUACCUAUAAGACUGGGAUAACUUCGGGAAACCGGAGCUAAUACCGGAUAAUAUAUUGAACCGCAUGGUUCAAUAGUGAAAGACGGUUUUGCUGUCACUUAUAGAUGGAUCCGCGCCGCAUUAGCUAGUUGGUAAGGUAACGGCUUACCAAGGCGACGAUGCGUAGCCGACCUGAGAGGGUGAGCGGCCACACUGGAACUGAGACACGGUCCAGACUCCUACGGGAGGCAGCAGUAGGGAAUCUUCCGCAAUGGGCGAAAGCUUGACGGAGCAACGCCGCGUGAGUGAUGAAGGUCUUCGGAUCGUAAAACUCUGUUAUUAGGGAAGAACAAAUGUGUAAGUAACUAUGCACGUCUUGACGGUGCCUAAUCAGAAGGCCACGGCUAACUACGUG